AGUGAACGCUGGCGGUAGGCCUAACACAUGCAAGUCGAACGGCAGCACAGUAAGAGCUUGCUCUUACGGGUGGCGAGUGGCGGACGGGUGAGGAAUACAUCGGAAUCUACUUUUUCGUGGGGGAUAACGUAGGGAAACUUACGCUAAUACCGCAUACGACCUACGGGUGAAAGCAGGGGAGCUUCGGACCUUGCGCGAUUGAAUGAGCCGAUGUCGGAUUAGCUAGUUGGCGGGGUAAAGGCCCACCAAGGCGACGAUCCGUAGCUGGUCUGAGAGGAUGAUCAGCCACACUGGAACUGAGACACGGUCCAGACUCCUACGGGAGGCAGCAGUGGGGAAUAUUGGACAAUGGGCGCAAGCCUGAUCCAGCCAUACCGCGUGGGUGAAGAAGGCCUUCGGGUUGUAAAGCCCUUUUGUUGGGAAAGAAAAGCAGCGGGUUAAUACCCCGCUGUUCUGACGGUACCCAAAGAAUAAGCACCGGCUAACUUCGUG
rnacentral:rRNA from 1 species